CUCUGCAACACAGAAUGAAAGUAAAAAUCAAAUCUCAAGUAAAGCCAAGAAAUGUCUCUGUUUUUAGGAGACAAUCACAUCAUCUGUGGAAAAUAAAUAAUAUUUCCUGAGACUUUACUGCAUUUCUUUUACUUCACCUUUUCAGGUCAGCAAGAAGCAUCAACCUAACACAAGGCAUGUUUGCAAGAAACAUCUGCAUCAAGCUGUUUAGUCUUGGAAGAAUCUACAGAAAAUGCUUUGAACCAUUGAUAUAAUUCAAAUCAAAAAGAACUUACUUCAGCAUAACAUCGGAUUCCCUUACAAUUUCUGCAAACUUGUCCUUCUGUAAGCCUUGUUCAAUGAGUAGUGCAUGAGAUUUAUGGUACCUAGAACAUAAAUUAAAAAAAUGGGUUGAAUGUU